GGAGAGGUGGAUGAGUGGUUUAAGUCGCACGCCUGGAAAGCGUGUUUGGGAUAAUAUCCCAACGGGGGUUCGAAUCCCCCCUUCUCCGCCA
rnacentral:tRNA from 8 species